ACUGAGGUUUCCAUGAUUCUAUCAUACCCCCUCCCUCUCUCGCUGUCGCUUUCUCUCUCUCUCUCCCUUCCUCUAUUUCGCCAUUUCUCACACGUAGCUAUAGGGUAUACAGAGAAAAAUUUGAUGUCAAAAAUCAAAAUCAAUGAACAAGAAUCAUUCAGAAGCAUUGAUUCAUAAGUGCAUUCAUAAAUCUAUAAUCUCUCAAUAUAUUUAUGGCCACACAUACUGGAUUGGUGUAUGUUCUAUCAACUGGAACGACCUGCCGAAACUGAGGUUGGCAACCUGGAAUCCAAGAAGGGGCAGCUGAUUGGGAUGAAAAUUGGGACAAGUUUGAGGAUGAAGGGAAUGUGAAGCCAAGAUGUGCAAGUUGUAGUUGUAUUGUAAUUUUGAUGAACUCUUGCCACUUCCAAGUUUCACAGUCAAAGAGCUCACUCUUGAUGUGGAAAAUGUUGUAGCUCCUCUUCAGUUGUCAGUAAAGCAUCUUCCACAAAAGAGGGUGUACAUGUUUCAUCAACAAAUGCUGAUCGUAACUCAGAAACGCCACCAAGUGGAGGGGAAAGGAUUGCCGAUGAUGCUCAUAGCGAAGACAGCGUAGAACUUCAGUGCAGAUGGUUCACCCCAUGCUAGAGAGACUCAGAGGUGCAUGUUUCAAUUUGCAUCUUUUUUAUAUUUUCCUUCUGCGUUGGAUUUGAAAUUUUUUAUUGGUGUCUGAACCUUUAAACCAUUGCAUGGCAUCUAUCUACACCUGUUGUUUUAUUCGAAAAUCUGAAUUUCUACAUGAUUUUAUUGGUGCACUGAACACGGGAGUGUUGAAUCUGUGUUCUCUGGGGACAGAAGUGUUGAUGAACGAAACUGGGGUGCAUUUGACGCACAUUAUGAUACCGACAUAGGCUGGGACUUCAGUUCUGGACCUAUAAAGGGUUCGAAAGAUGGACAAGAGUUGGAUGAUGAUAAAAGAUAGGUUGAAAAGUAAAGAGUAUCAACAAGGUUUUGAUGUGUAAAUGUUUAAGCACAUGUUUUUUAUGAAAUAUUCAUUUUCCCUGAAUUGAUUAGGAAUACUCACUGGCAGUUUAUCAAUUAUGAAAUAGUUAAACAGAGUGCCUAAAUGGUUGGGUUUCACAUAGAGCAGAUUAGCACAGCAAGCUUGGUUUUCGCAAACAUUUAUUUAAGUUAAUUAAAAAAUAAUAAUAAUCCAACAUAAAUAAUCCAACUUAGUCAAAAACGGCGUUCAAGAGGCAAAAAUGUAAAACAGCCACCGAACCACUCUAUGGAUGUUAAGGGUAGCUUUCUCAUGACACAUAGGACCUUUGGGGACAUACAAGAUGUAAUUAGUACACGUAGGUUGGGAGUUGGAGUAAAAAAUGCCUUAAACUUAGUCGAAAAAAGGCGUUCGGGGGGUGAAAAUACAAAAUAGCUCCCGAACCACUAUGGAUGUCACGGAUAGCUUCCUCAUGGCACAUAGGACCUGUGGGGACAAACGGGAUGUAAUUAGCACACGUAAGUUGGGAAUUGGAGUAAAAAAUGUCUUAAACUUAGUCGAAAAAAGCCGUUCAACGGGCGAAAAUGCAAAGCAGCCCUCCGAAUCACUCUGUGGAUGUUACGAGAAGCUUCCUUGUGACACAUAGGACCUGUGGGGACAAACGGCAUGUAAUUAGCACAUGCAGGUUGGGAGUUGGAGUAAAAAAUGCCUUAAACUUAGUCGAAAAAAGGCGUUCGGAGGGUAAAAAUGCAAAACAGCCCCCGAACCACUCUAUUGAUCUCACAGAUAGCUUCCUCGUGACACAUAAGACCUGUGGGGACAGACGGGAUGUAAUUAUCACGCGUUGGUUGGGAGUUGGAGUAAAAAAUGCCUUAAACAUAGUCAAAAAAAGCGUUUGGGGGCGAAAAUGCAAAACAGCCCCGAAUCACUCUAUGGAUGUUACGGGAAGCUUUCUCGUGACACACGGGACCUGUGGGGACAGACGACAUGUAAUUAGCACACGUAGGUUGGGAGUUGGAGUAAAAAAUGUCUUAAACUUAGUCAAGAAAAGGCGUUCGGGAGGUGAAAAUGCCAAACAGCCCCUGAACCACUCUAUGGAUGUCACGGGCAACUUCCUCAUGACAAAUAGGACGUGGCAGCUUCCUCAUGACUCUAUGGACAUGUGAAUAUAUUUUAGUCAUGAGUUGCAUGUAUUUUACCUUGAUGAAAAAGAACUAGAAGCAACAAAUUGGCUGGAAAAGAAGAAUAACCAUGGUUAAUGAGCUGUAUGUUAAAAAAAAGUUAUGGUUUUUUUCCUUUUUUAGCCUGAAGACCUUUUCUUUAGAAACUCUAUUUUUGCUCUUAGUGUAGCUUUCUCAAUGAAGAGAGUAUUACAGAGGUAUUUUUGCUUCAAGGAAAUUUCUGUCUGUUUUAGGCUCCAUUUGUUUUGAUGUAAUAUAAUUUACACUGAAAAUAAUUUCAUGUAGAAUAAUUUACAUCUCUUAUUUUUCAAUGUUUGGCUUCAACUCUAAAUAGUUCAAAUCACAAAUCUCAAGGCAGGCUACCAGUUAGCUAUUGCUCUGCUAUUUAUACAUAAAAAUAAAUAUAUCACAGAUUGUUUGAGGAACCAAAAAUAGACAGUGAAUCAGAAUGACAUGCUUCAUCACCAUGUAAACCAACCAAUUAAGGAAAAGAAGAAAUAGAAGCUGAAACUGUGGGAGACCAUUUUCUCUUUCGUUGUAAUUAAUAUUUCCCCCUUUCAUUAUGUUUCUUAUUUCUAAUUGUUCUUUUUGACUGUGACACUAAAAACACAAAAGGAAAUUUUGCCAUGACUUAUCCCUUCUAAGUAACCAUCAUUUUAAACUCGAAAGGUACAACAACUUGAACAAUUAAAUGCAAACUUCAGCACAGGCCUUAUAUACUAAUACACAUUUCUAUUGGCUUACUGUUACCCGACCUCAUACUCAAAGGCCAUGAAACAUGGAGGAAAGCUUUUUUUUCCGCUACAAUAUAGUAACAGAUGGCUUUUGGCAUGGACUUGUGGAUAUUCCAUUUGUGUACGGAGGACAAUUUUCACAUUCGUAUAAUCCCACUUUUUUGUUGCCCUUUGCUUUUUGUGUGGAUUUGUAUUACUUGUACAUAAUACUUUUGGCGGGGUACAUAAUACUUUUGGCAUGGAACAGACAAUUAUUGCCGUGACAUAUAGAUUACUUUUUGUCGUGGUACAGAUUACCAUGGUAAUUUGUACCAUGCCAAAUGGUCAUUUGGCAUAGUAGUAAAUAUAUUUUUGUGUACGGAGGAUAUGAUUUUCGUAUGAUUAUUUGUUUUGUACGGAAUUAUUAUUUUAAAUUGAAAUAUACUUGAUUUGUAUGGAAUUUGACAUUUAAA